CACGUAGGGGCCAAGCGUUGUCCGGAUUUAUUGGGCGUAAAGAGCUCGUAGGCGGUUCGGUAAGUCGGGUGUGAAAACUCUGGGCUCAACCCAGAGACGCCACCCGAUACUGCUGUGACUGGAGUCCGGUAGGGGAGUGGGGAAUUCCUGGUGUAGCGGUGAAAUGCACAGAUAUCAGGAGGAACACCGGUGGCGAAGGCGCCACUCUGGGCCGGUACUGACGCUGAGGAGCGAAAGUGUGGGGAGCGAACAGG
rnacentral:rRNA from 1 species